rnacentral:rRNA from 1 species
CCUACGGGAGGCAGCAGUGAGGAAUAUUGGUCAAUGGCCGGAAGGCUGAACCAGCCAAGCCGCGUGAAGGACGAAGGUGCCAAGCAUUGUAAACUUCUUUUGUCAAGGGACAAAAUCAGGCUCGAGAGCCUGACCGAGUGUACUUGAAGAAAAAGCAUCGGCUAACUCCGUGCCAGCAGCCGCGGUAAUACGGAGGAUCCGUGCGUUAUCCGGAUUUUUUGGGGUUAAAGGGAGCGUAGGUGGAUUGUUAAGUCAGUGGGUAAAGGUUGGGGCUCAACCGUCACAGUGCAGUUGAAACUGGCAGUCUUGAGAACAGGAGAGGUAGGCGGAAUGCGCGGUGUAGCGGUGAAAUGCUUAGAUAGCGCGAAGAACUCCGAUUGCGAAGGCAGCUUACUGGACUGGAACUGACGCUGAGGCACGAAAGUGUGGGUAUCGAACAGGAUUAGAUACCCCAGUAGUC